GAUGAACGCUAGCGGCAGGCUUAAUACAUGCAAGUCGAGGGGCAGCGCGGGGUAGCAAUACUCUGGCGGCGACCGGCAAACGGGUGCGGAACACGUACGCAACUUUCCCAAAACUGGUGAAUAGCCCUCCGAAAGGAGGAUUAAUACACCGUACAAUAACGAGGUGGCAUCACUUUGUUAUUAUAGCUCCGGCGGUUUUGGAUGGGCGUGCGCCUGAUUAGAUAGUUGGCGGGGUAACGGCCCACCAAGU
rnacentral:rRNA from 1 species